UGUGGUGUUUGUCCCAAGGCAGACUGAUUCCAGUAAAUCGCCUGCAUUUUCUCUGAGACAUAUUUGGGAGAUGUAAGAUUUACAUGGCCAAGAAUAGAAUUUCAUCACCCAGAGAUGCUUGCUCUCAAAACAUUUGUGCAGGGCAGCCAAGGGGAGUUGAUGAAUACCAGUUUAUAGUUCAGGUAUCCAAAGCUUUCUGGAAAUGUAUGACCGUGAAUAUCUUAAUUUUCAACAUACUGAAGAACAGGAAGUGUGUGGAAUGGACCAUGGAUGGAUGA
rnacentral:lncRNA from 1 species